ensembl:misc_RNA Metazoa_SRP Metazoan signal recognition particle RNA
GCCGGGUGUGGUGGCUCAUGCCUGUAAUCCCAGCACUUUGGGAGGCUGAGGUGGGUGGAUCACCUGAGGUCAGGAGUUUGAGGCCAGCCUGACCAACAUGGUGAAACCCCGUCUCUA